rnacentral:pre_miRNA from 1 species
AUGGUGCGUCCCUGGGGCUGGUAAAAAGGAACCAGAUCAACUUGCAACUGGAUUUGGUCCCCUUCAACCAGCUGCAGCGGCGCAUGUG